GACGAACGCUGGCGGCGUGCUUAACACAUGCAAGUCGAACGGAAAGGCCCUGCUUUUGUGGGGUGCUCGAGUGGCGAACGGGUGAGUAACACGUGAGUAACCUGCCCUUGACUUUGGGAUAACUUCAGGAAACUGGGGCUAAUACCUGAUAGGAGCUCCUGCUGCAUGGUUGGGGUUUGAAAGUUUCGGCGGUUGGGGAUGGACUCGCGUCUUAUCAGCUUGUUGGUGGGGUAGUGGCUUACCAAGGCUUUGACGGGUAGCCGGCCUGAGAGGGUGACCGGCAACAUUGGGAGUGAGAGACGGCCCAGAAUCAUACGGGAGGCAGCAGUGGGGAAUAUUGCACAAUGGGCGGAAGCCUGAUGAAGCAACGCCGCGUGCGGGAUGAAGGCCUUCGGGUUGUAAACAGAGUUCGCAUGUGACGAAGCGUGAGUGACGGUAAUGGGUAAAGAAGCACCGGCUAACUACGUG
rnacentral:rRNA from 1 species